AAGGAGGCAGCAGUGGGGAAUAUUGCGCAAUGGGGGAAACCCUGACGCAGCAACGCCGCGUGAAGGAUGAAGGUUUUCGGAUCGUAAACUUCUUUGAUGAGGGAAGAACAAAUGACGGUACCUCAAAAACAAGCCACGGCUAACUACGUGCCAGCAGCCGCGGUAAUACGUAGGUGGCGAGCGUUGUCCGGAAUUACUGGGUGUAAAGGGCGUGUAGGCGGGAAUGCAAGUCAGAUGUGAAACUCCGGGGCUUAACUUCGGAACUGCAUCUGAAACUGUGUUUCUUGAGUGCUGGAGAGGAAAGCGGAAUUCCUAGUGUAGCGGUGAAAUGCGUAGAUAUUAGGAGGAACACCAGUGGCGAAGGCGGCUUUCUGGACAGUAACUGACGCUGAGGCGCGAAAGCGUGGGGAGCAAACAGGAUUAGAUACCCCUGUAGUCCA
rnacentral:rRNA from 1 species